UACGUAGGGACCGAGCGUUGUCCGGAAUCAUUGGGCGUAAAGAGCGUGUAGGCGGCUCGGUAAGUCCGCUGUAAAAGUCAAAGGCUCAACCUUUGAAUGUCAGUGGAUACUGCCGGGCUAGAGUCCGGAAGAGGCGAGUGGAACUCCUGGUGUAGCGGUGGAAUGCGCAGAUAUCAGGAAGAACACCAACGGCGAAGGGAGCUCGCUGGGACGGUACUGACGCUGAGACGCGAAAGCGUGGGGAGCGAACAGG
rnacentral:rRNA from 1 species